UACGUAGGGUGCGAGCGUUGUCCGGAAUUAUUGGGCGUAAAGGGCUCGUAGGCGGUUUGUCACGUCGGGAGUGAAAACUCGGGGCUUAACCCCGAGCCUGCUUCCGAUACGGGCAGACUAGAGGUAUGCAGGGGAGAACGGAAUUCCUGGUGUAGCGGUGAAAUGCGCAGAUAUCAGGAGGAACACCGGUGGCGAAGGCGGUUCUCUGGGCAUUACCUGACGCUGAGGAGCGAAAGCAUGGGGAGCGAACAGG
rnacentral:rRNA from 1 species